UUGGUAAGGCGCCACACUAGUAAUGUGGCGAUCCUCAGUUCAACUCUGAGUGCGAGCA
rnacentral:tRNA from 1 species